GACGAACGCUGGCGGCGUGCCUAAUACAUGCAAGUAGAACGCUUAAGAGAGGAGCUUGCUCUUCUUGGAUGAGUUGCGAACGGGUGAGUAACGCGUAGUUAACCUGCCUUGUAGCGGGGGAUAACUAUUGGAAACGAUAGCUAAUACCGCAUAACAAUGGAUGACACAUUUCAUUUAUUUGCAAGUGGCAAUUGCUCCACUACAAGAUGUACCUGCGUUGUAUUAGCUAGUAGGUGAGGUAAUGGCUCACCUAGGCGACGAUGCAUAGCCGACCUGAGAGGGUGAUCGGCCACACUGGGACUGAGACACGGCCCAGACUGCUACGGGAGGCAGCAGUAGGGAAUCUUCGGCAAUGGGGGCAACCCUGACCAAGCAACGCCGCGUGAGGGCAGAAGGUUUUCGGAUCGUAAAGCUCUGUUGUAAGUCAAGAACGGGUGUGAGAGUGGAAAGUUCACACUGUGACGGUAGCUUACCAGAAAGGGACGGCUAACUACGUG
rnacentral:rRNA from 1 species